GGUGGAGUAGCUCAGUGGUAGAGCACAUGCUUAGCAUGCGUAAGGCCUUGGGUUCCAGCCCCAGUACGUCCU
rnacentral:tRNA from 1 species